UCAGGAUGAACGCUAGCGGCAGGCCUAAUACAUGCAAGUCGAGGGGCAGCACAGGUAGCAAUACUGGGUGGCGACCGGCAAACGGGUGCGGAACACGUACGCAACCUUCCUUCAAGAGAUGGAUAGCCCGAAGAAAUUCGGAUUAAUACAUCGUAAAAUCACAGGGUGGCAUCACUNAAUGAUUAAAGAAUUUCGCUUGAAGAUGGGCGUGCGCCUGAUUAGGUAGUUGGUGAGGUAACGGCUCACCAAGCCGACGAUCAGUAACUGGCGUGAGAGCGCGACCAGUCACACGGGCACUGAGACACGGGCCCGACUCCUACGGGAGGCAGCAGUAAGGAAUAUUGGUCAAUGGACGCAAGUCUGAACCAGCCAUGCCGCGUGAAGGAUGAAGGUCCUCUGGAUUGUAAACUUCUUUUAUCUGGGACGAAAUCACUUUUUUCUAAGAGUGUGACGGUACCAGAGA
rnacentral:rRNA from 1 species